rnacentral:rRNA from 1 species
UACGUAGGGUGCGAGCGUUAAUCGGAAUUACUGGGCGUAAAGGCGUGCGCAGGCGGUUCGUUAAGUCAGCUGUGAAAGCCCCGGGCUCAACCUGGGAACUGCGGUUGAAACUGGCGAACUAGAAUCUGGCAGAGGGGGGUGGAAUUCCACGUGUAGCAGUGAAAUGCGUAGAGAUGUGGAGGAACACCGAUGGCGAAGGCAGCCCCCUGGGCUAAGCAUUGACGCUCAGGCACGAAAGCGUGGGGAGCAAACAGG